ensembl:lncRNA
AGUUAAUGACACUAUCUGUGAUGGGAGAGGACAUGGGCUCUCAAACGAAACACUGGAUGGUGACACUGCAAGAAGUUUUUUAUCCUGCUCUAGCAGCUGUGGGCAUCCCAUCCAACAUCGUCACCUUUCUAAUCAUCUGGAAGAGGAACUGCACCCUCUCCAGAUCCAGUGCCUUGUAUCUGAUGGCCAUCUCAGUGGCAGACAACUUUGUCCUGAUGUUCAUUGUGAUUCUCGAGCUUUCUUUGAAGUACCACCAGCAGGAGCCAUUUUGGAGCUAUGAGCCUUGGUGCAGCCUGAGGGACAUUUUUAAUUACGGUGCCUAUAAUGCCUCUACUUGGCUUGUGGUUCUGUUUACAGUGGAGCGUUUUAUUGCCAUUCACACGUGGAAAAUCAAACCUAAAAUCUGCAAUCAGAGAUGUGCAGCAUGGACUAUAGCAGCCACGUUUGUUUUCAGUCAUCUUUUUGCCAUUCCUCACUACUGGUCUAAUAUCUCAGUCCAUGAUAAUAAUCAGACCAGGUGUAUUUACAACCCAGAGGCACCGACUCGGUUCAUUCAUGCCCUGGUCUGGAUUCAAACACUGCAAGCCUACAUGUUCCCCUUUCUCAUCAUCCUCACAGUUAACGGGUUGACCUUACAACUGAUUUCUCUCAGUAGCCGGGUUCACAUCCCUGCAGGAUUGGCUCCUGGGGUUUGCAAAGUCAGGCCCCUUCUUUGCUCCCGGAGAAGAAAAUCAGUGGUUCUUUUAGUGACCGUAUCCAUGAGUUUUGUGCUGCUGUCUGUCACGCGCGCUAUAACUCAGAUCAUCCUUCGCACAACUGAGUUGUACACUUUGGAUCGUAAUGAUUAUAAUCACCAAAUAAAUAUAGCAGCUGAUGCUGGGACCAUGCUCUGCCUGAGCAAUGCUGCUGCAAACAUGUACCUGUAUGUAUGCACCCAGUCCAGGUUUCGCCAGGAGUUCUCGGCUUGUAUUUAUCAGGCGUCCUUCUAUUGCAAAACAAAACUACAGAAAGUCAAAGAAAAUUCUCGGUGUGAUUAGAAAACACAAUCAUGGAGAUAUUAUCCUCAGCAAAGCUUUUACAGGUGCAAGCGUUCUUAGGGCAGCCAUAACAAGUUAAUGACUUUGUUUUUCUCAAAAGGCCACAAACCAUUUAACUGAACUAAGACUCCAUAAAAUACAAUUUAAUUUUCUUUAUUACUUUGCUUUACUCUUUAUGUCACCCAUCCCAUUAAACAAAAUAUAUGGAUUUCCUGCCAAAUUAACAAUCUUGACACACAGCUCCAUUGUUUGACUUGCACUUUAAAAUAAUGAAUUAAUUUCCUGCGUUUCCAAACCUGGACAAUAAAAGCUGGCAAACAAACAAGGAGAGUCACGCUCCAGCAAUCAGUUCAGUCAAAUAACCAUCAUGAUUUAGGUGUGCUGAAUAGCUUUUAUGGGUUUUUUUUAAUGACAAAACAAACAUGUCACAUAAAAGUUUCGUUUAAUUUAAAUUCACUCUGUGUAAAGAAAUGAUGUUUAAAUAUUACUGAACUGUUACUCCUGUCAUUUGGAAUCUUUAUUUUAAAUUAUGCUGCAGAAACAUGGAUCUGUUUGUUUUCUUUCAAACUUUCUGGUCUUUAAUUACAAGUCUGCAAUAAUAGAUGCACAGCAGUGUAACUGCGUGCAAAUAUGUCAUUAGGUUUUGACCUAAAAUAUUAUGCUUUAGGUCAAAGCUAAUGGUUGCCACAAUCCAGUCUUUAAGUGAUGAUGUGAUGAAUCCUGCUUCCGGGCCCAAACGACUCUGCGUUUAAUAAGGCUUUUGUGUUUCUUACUUGUUUUAAUGCUUUGUAUCUUGUUCUAUUUAAUCUCAACAAGCCCCUAAAACAGUCAGUGAUCACUGUCGGCCUCUCUUGGUUUUUAUUACUGCUAAUCAUUUUAAAGCUCAGUUUUUAAAACCUUACAAUGUCACUACAGCUCAGCCCAUGCAGCAGUAUAUUGAUAAUUAACCUCAUAUUGUGGAUGGAUUAUCUCAGUUGUUCUCCUGGCUGAAGUUCAGUCCGUUUACAGCAUCCUGCCAUGCGAUUGCAUUUGUCCCAAACCAUCGGGAACCCUCACGUUAACUUUUACAGAGUAGAAAAAAGUUAGCGUUCAUCCUCCAGCUUCACUGUUUAUAUUAUGCUAACAUAGCUGUGUCGCUAGCGAUCAUGUAGCACAUCAUUGUAUACCAGCUAGCCAAACUUCAGUAACCCUACAAACGUCCCUGCUGUUUACUUUCCUGUCUUCAUGUAUGUCAGAAAUAAUAGCAGAGCUGUACGUCUUAAUUUGUUUCAUAAAUCCCUCAGUCAGAACAUGGUAUAUUAUGACUAGUGAGCUAACUUCCUGCUAACUUCUAACUCUGUUAAAUUUCAUAAAUUUGGUUUUCGUGAAUGCAUGGAUGUUAAACUUAAUUGUUAAACCAGGUAGAGCAGCAGCACUGAUCAUUUUAUUACAGAUGAAGGGAUUUAGACAGUUUUUAACUCUCAGUGAUGCCGCAGUAAUCGUUUGACUUUGGGACCUGCAGCAGAGUUAGGCACGGCUAAUGAUGUCAGACCGUAUAGAUGUAACAACUCUGUUGUAGACUCCAGGGCAGGUAAUUUUGGGGCCCUUACCACCACUUCAUACCUGAGCAAGUCCACUAUUUACCAAUUUUACACACACUGUAAAUGCAAAAGAAAUAUCAGGUUUUGAUCAUCAUGGACUACUACCACCAUCAGUGAAUAUGUACAAAAAUAGAAUUUUGGGUUAAAAUUCAGUUAAAAAAACACUGGACUGCAUUAAUAAAGUUAUAUUUUGUUCAGAAAAUGGAACCACAACGUAAACAUAUAAUAGAACUUUUUCAUAUCUGUCCAACUUUAACGAAAUAAAUAAUUUAAGCUGUGCAUGCUGUGUGAGAUGUGAAAAGGGGCACUUUUCUGCUGGAGAUUUGGUUCACAGAUCUUCUCAAACUUUUUAUGAAUACAUGGUGGUACCUUCAGGC